rnacentral:sRNA from 1 species
UCGGUGUUAACAUCAAGAUGAUCACUGAUAACCAGUUGUAAACUUGGAAUGGGAAUAAACAUGUAUCCAUCUUCGGCUUUUCUUGGUACGCACAAGUGGUAGGAACCAACAAACCCCAUGGAUGAAUAUGUCUCUCAAGUCUCAAUGGUUGUAAGUUUUGUCACGUAAGAGACAUGGAGAACAUACCUGGCAGAGAAUCAAGUGAAUUCCUCCAAAGAACUGAUCAGAUUAGAAAGAGCUAGUGUCUUGCGGCUGAAUAGAAUGGGAGAUAUGUAAAGGAAGGAACAAAUACUUUUGACAAACUAUUUAGGCCAUCGUCAAAGAUUUUGCAACAUACACAUCCAUUAAUUAGUAUUCAGUAGACAGUGGAAAGAAGUGUCUAAAGGAAACUUGAACCCAGAUGUCUGCAUAGAGGUAAAUCCACAUAAGAUCUCACACCCUCGGCCAAGUUCACAUCACACAUUAGAAUUAUAGAACCUUGACGUGUCUUUAUUCGGUGGAGCAUGGAAUUCUUCUCAUUGUAGAUCGCUGCUUGACAUUGUUUGACAAUCCACUGGUCGACUCUCUUCACACAACUUACAAUGAGCUCAAGCUUAAAAAUGGGUGUGUUCGGCAUUCUAAAUCAAUGUCACAAAGGAGACAAGCGGUAAGAACCACCAAACCCCAUUGACGAAGAUGGUCUCCUGGAAGAUUUGGCACGUAAGAGACGUAGAGAACAUACUUGUUGGAGCAUCAAAUGAUUUCCUCCAAAGAAAUUGAUUAGAUUGGGAAGACUAGUGUCUCGCGGCUGAAUAGGUAAGCAUGCUUGGAGCAUAACGGCUAGCGGCAAUGUCCAACUGCCAUUAGGAACAACCUGAAAAUCUACAUCGACCUCUUUGAUAGCGUGAUAUAGUCAUGUGUGCAUGCAUACAUUCAUAUGUGCAUACAUUCAUACAUCCAUACAUUCAUGCAUACAUUCAUACAUUCAUACAUUCAUACAUUCAUACAUCCAUACAUGCAUGCAUACAUUCAUACAUGCAUACAUUCAUACAUUCAUAC